GGCUGGUCCGAUGGUAGUGGGUUAUCAGAACUUACUAACAUUAGUGUCACUAAAGUUGGUAUAUAACCCCCCACUGCUAAAUUUGACAGACUAGA
rnacentral:Y_RNA from 1 species